UAGGGAAUCUUCCACAAUGGACGCAAGUCUGAUGGAGCAACGCCGCGUGAGUGAAGAAGGCUUUCGGGUCGUAAAACUCUGUUAUUGAAGAAGAACGUGUGUGACAGUAACUGGUCAUGCAGUGACGGUAUUCAAUCAGAAAGUCACGGCUAACUACGUGCCAGCAGCCGCGGUAAUACGUAGGUGGCAAGCGUUGUCCGGAUUUAUUGGGCGUAAAGCGAGUGCAGGCGGUCUUUUAAGUCUGAUGUGAAAGCCUUCGGCUUAACCGAAGAAGGGCAUCGGAAACUGGGAGACUUGAGUGCAGAAGAGGAGAGUGGAACUCCAUGUGUAGCGGUGAAAUGCGUAGAUAUAUGGAAGAACACCAGUGGCGAAGGACGGCUCUCUGGUCUGUAACUGACGCUGAGGCUCGAAAGCGUGGGUAGCAAACAGGAUUAGAUACCCUGGUAGU
rnacentral:rRNA from 1 species